rnacentral:tRNA from 1 species
GUCAGGAUGGCCGAGCGGUCUAAGGCGCUGCGUUAAGGUCGCAGUCUCCACUGGAGGCGUGGGUUCGAAUCCCACUCCUGACA